rnacentral:rRNA from 1 species
GGGGAAUAUUGGACAAUGGGCGAAAGCCUGAUCCAGCCAUGCCGCGUGAGUGAUGAAGGCCUUAGGGUUGUAAAGCUCUUUCAGUGGGGAAGAUAAUGACGGUACCCACAGAAGAAGCCCCGGCUAACUUCGUGCCAGCAGCCGCGGUAAUACGAAGGGGGCUAGCGUUGUUCGGAUUUACUGGGCGUAAAGCGCACGUAGGCGGAUUGGUCAGUUAGGGGUGAAAUCCCAGAGCUCAACUCUGGAACUGCCUCUAAUACUGCCAGUCUAGAGUCCGGAAGAGGUAAGUGGAACUCCUAGUGUAGAGGUGGAAUUCGUAGAUAUUAGGAAGAACACCAGUGGCGAAGGCGGCUUACUGGUCCGGUACUGACGCUGAGGUGCGAAAGCGUGGGGAGCAAAC